rnacentral:rRNA from 1 species
AUUGAACGCUGGCGGCAGGCCUAACACAUGCAAGUCGGACGGUAGCACAGAGGAGCUUGCUCCUCGGGUGACGAGUGGCGGACGGGUGAGUAAUGUCUGGAAACUGCCCGAUGGAGGGCGAUAACUACUGGAAACGGUAGCUAAUACCACAUAACGUCGCAAGACCAAAGUGGUGGUCUGUCGGGCCUAACACCAUCGGAUGUGCCAAGAUGGGAUUAGCUAGUAGGUGGGGUAAUGGCUCACCUAGGCGACGAUCCCUAGCUGGUCUGAGAGGAUGACCAGCCACACUGGAACUGAGACACGGUCCAGACUCCUACGGGAGGCAGCAGUGGGGAAUAUUGCACAAUGGGCGCAAGCCUGAUGCAGCCAUGCCGCGUGUAUGAAGAAGGCCUUCGGGUUGUAAAGUACUUUCAGCGGGGAGGAAGGCGGUGAGGUUAAUAACCUUGCCGAUUGACGUUACCCGCAGAAGAAGCACCGGCUAACUCCGUGCCAGCCGCCGCGGUAA